GCCCUUCUGGCGCAGUGGAUAGCGCGUUAGACUUCUAAUCCAAAGGUCCCGGUUUCGAAUCCCGGCGAGGGUG